GGGGGAAUGACCAAAAAAAAAAUUUGUAGCAAUGAAACGUUAUUGGUUUAUUUUUAUACUCCCUCUAAUAGAACAGAGUAAUUAAAAACGGCAAUGUAUAUUAACAAAAUGGAUAAUUACACUUUGCCGGCAAUCGAGAUUGCCAGCAGAAGACACGCCAAGCCCAGUGCACGGUGAAUGUUGCCAUCUCUCUGUAUGAUUCUUCCAAAACUCCCUCGUCGGUCACGUGCAUCCCACCUUCUACACACCGCCCCCCAAUGAAAAUUUGUAGUAAAAAAAAAUAAUAAUAAAUAACGAAUUCUUUUUUUUUUCUUUCUUUUAUUUGUUUUCUCUUUG
rnacentral:misc_RNA from 1 species